rnacentral:rRNA from 1 species
AUACGGAGGAUCCGAGCGUUAUCCGGAUUUAUUGGGUUUAAAGGGUGCGCAGGCGGCCAUUUAAGUCAGCGGUUAAAUCGUGGGGCUCAACCCCAUUCUGCCGUUGAUACUGGGUGGCUUGAUUGCGGUCGAGGUUGGCGGAAUUCGUUGUGUAGCGGUGAAAUGCAUAGAUAUGACGAAGAACACCGAUUGCGUAGGCAGCUGACCAGACCGCAAAUGACGCUCAUGCACGAAAGUGCGGGGAUCGAACAGGAUUAGAUACCCUGGUAGUCCGCACAGUAAACGAUGAAUACUUGUUUUCGGCGAUAUAAUGUCGGAGGCAAAGCGAAAGUGAUAAGUAUUCCACCUGGGGAGUACGCCGGCAACGGUGAAACUCAAAGGAAUUGACGGGG